rnacentral:rRNA from 1 species
GUGCCAGCAGCCGCGGUAAGACAGAGGGUGCAAACGUUGUUCGGAAUUACUGGGCGUAAAGCGCAUGUAGGCGGUUCGUAAAGUCAGAUGUGAAAGCCCUGGGCUUAACCCAGGAAGUGCAUUUGAAACUCACGAACUUGAGUCCCGGAGAGGAAGGCGGAAUUCUCGGUGUAGAGGUGAAAUUCGUAGAUAUCGAGAGGAACAUCGGUGGCGAAGGCGGCCUUCUGGACGGUGACUGACGCUGAGAUGCGAAAGCGUGGGGAGCAAACAGGAUUAGAAACCCGCGUAGUCC